ACUACAACCAAAUUAAUCCAGCAAGCUAAGGCUCAGAUCACUGUGGAUAUGUCCAAAUCCUCCAUGAGUGUUUAAAACAACUAAUUUAAGAGAGAAAAAGAAAAUCUAUGCCUGUAUCCCCAUUGCCUUAUCUACAUUGGGUUUUAUGAGCACAUUAUUAUUAAUUUGAGGAAUAGUUUGUUUCUUAACUUUAUUCUAGCAUUUAUUCCAUGGAGAUAAAAUGUAUUAUGAAAACAUGAAUGGAGUGCUUUUAAAAGACAUUUUUCAUGGCAAGUGAGGAAUUGAUUUGAGCCAAUUUUUCUCGUAUUCAACUGUGAAAUAUAAUCCAAUAUAACAGCAAUGUCAUUAGAUCUCUCAUCUGAGUGUGAGUGUCCUGUUUGGAGGGUCCUCCGAAUGAGUCUGAUUGGAACACCUGUUCCAACGAGAGUGGUAAUGGCUCUUGACAUUCAAGAUCAAGGAAGAAAUCCAUGCUUUCUUCUAGUAUGCAGUGCUUUCCUUCUCAGUGUUGUCCCACCAAGGCAGAGAGUGGUAACAAAGAAGACUCAGCAGUUCCUCCCUCAGAUGAGGAAAGCUAUGUGGGGUCUUCUCAAAACAAUCAUCUAAUUUUGAGCCUUGAGGAUAUCAAAAGGAAAAUCAAGCCAUUGAGAGAGUGGACUAUCCAUGAGUUACUGAGGGAGUUUGGGGAUAGUUGGAAGUUCCAACCAAACUCCAUGUCUCUGAGCUACUUUAGAGAUCAGGUGGUUAUGAAUUUCAGAAGAGCUCUGUAUUAUUCUGGAAUUUCGGUGACGCAUAUUCGAGGCUACAAACCUCAAAAGCACUUUACAGCUAAUUAUUUUAAAAGAAACCCAGGUUGCCUACACCGGCUGGUUCCCUGGCUGGAAGGGGAACUAACAGCUGUUUAUGGAGAUUAUGGCUACACAGUGAAGAACAUCCUAAUCACCAUCCUCCAUCACAUGACAGAAUGUGACUUGGACAGUGAGUCCUUCAUUCACCUCCUGGAACCUUAUCUCUUACAACACACCCACCAUUUCCUACAUGAGUUUAUUAGUUUUGUUCAUUCACCUUACAACAUGGAGACCUAUGACCAGCAAGCCAUCUAUCAAUGCUCUGCUGCUUCACCAUGUGUAAACAAGAAGCCCCUUGUAUCAGCUCCUGUUUCACCUCUGCCUAAGGAUCACAGUCUACUGAUAUCUCAACAUAAUACAAAGCAGUCUAAAAAUACCCAGGGUCAAUGGAAUAAAGAGGAGAGGCCCCUGUCAGGCUUGAAACAGUUUCCAAAUGGUAACUCUUCCUUGAAGAAAUCUGAAAUCCCACCAGUCUGUGAUAAAACAGUAAGCAAAAUCUAUGGUGGAAUCAAAGACAAAGCAGAAUCGGGUGACCACAAAAGCAUCAUUUCUAUGAAUAAUAUACUCCAGAAGUGGGCUACUCCAAGGGAAAGGUGCCCAGGCCUACUGAAUUGCAAAAAAAAAGUUCAAGAGAAAAAGACAGAAGGGAUAAAGUUGUUUCCUGAUCAUGUCCAUGAUCUGGGAAAGAGUGACACAACUGCACACACCUUCAGUACCCCAGCAAUUUCUAAUCAGGUGCAACCACAGAAAUAUAGUUUAAGAGAAAGAAAGGAUUUGAGCCUUGGCCAGAAGAUAAACUUUCAGAAAAAAGAAGAAGACAAUAACAAAUACUCAGAUUCUUCACCAAAGACCUUUCAAAGAUUGUCCAGAGAAAGAUCCUUGAAAAGUUGCAAAUCCAGAGAGAGAGACCCCUCUUGGAGUUGCAUUUCAGAAAAUGCCUUUUCUCCUAAGAGAGAUGGCAGGAAACUGAGUUCUUUCAGAAAAAAGAGGAUAAAGUGUAGACAACCCUCCCAAUUUGUAGAAAUUGGGUCACACUCCAGGAGAAGAAUCCAAAGACGAUCAAGGUCCAAUACUCACAGAUCCAAAUCCUGGUGUGUUGGAUCUAGAAAGAGAUCUGUAAGCAGAGAAUCGAGUAAUCUCUCUCUGAGAGGAAGUCACAGAAGUGAACACUUCACCCAGAAUAUAUGCUGUGAGCCCUCAAAAGACAAGCAUGCCCAUGGCAAUGAAUCAGACUGUGGGAGGCCAUCUUCAACCACAGUCCAAUACGUGAAGCUUUCUUCAACUGCUGGGAAGAGACCCAAGUGUGCUUCUAAAAGUGAAGGUACUUCCCAAGCAGGAAGACGCUGUAACAGUCCCACAUGCCUACAGCUCCAGAAACACAGAUCCCCAAGUAAACAGGAGAUAAAGCAAGAAACUACAUUUCCUAGAGCUAGAAGAACCAGAGCAGUUAGGCACAGAAAAACCAAAUGCCAUUAUUCAGAUAUACACACCACAGAGGAUGUCAGUGAUGAAUUGGGCAAUCUGGAUGAUAUAAGACAAACGAGUGGUCUGAGUGUGCACCCUCCUGCAGGAGGCAAAUCCACGAAAAACAGCAUUGGAAUCUUCAGAAUAUUUACUGGGUCAAGAAAGAAUACAAAAGAGACAUACUAUCAGAAACAUUGGUGCAAAUUGUUUUAAAAGUCAAAUCAGUCUACUAAACUAGCCACCAAGCUAGUUAUUCAUACAUUCAAAGAGUAUGAAUAUAAUCUAAAAACAUUACUGAAAAGAUUUAUCACAUCGCUUUAUAACUGAAAGUAAAAGCCUGGUUAUUAAAUUCAAAGUUGACUUUGGAGACAAAUGCAAAUCAUUAAAUUGGUCAUAUAUGUAAAUAUUUCUCCCUACUUUUUUUCUUAUGAAAUCAAUUAUUAAAAUAUUUGACUUAUUUUUUGUUCCUAGAUUUAACUGUAAAGAUUGACUUCUCAAAGUUCCAAACACCCUGAAGAUUAUACUGACAAUAAAAGCAUAAGUUUCCUAACACAAGUUA
rnacentral:sRNA from 1 species